CAAUAGCGUAUAUUUAAGUUGUUGCAGUUAAAAAGCUCGUAGUUGGAUUUCGGGUGGGACGCAGCGGUCUCGCAUUGCGUUUGUACUGCUGCAGCCCUCCUUCUUGCCGGGGGCGGCCUCUCGGACUUCACUGUCUGGGGGUCAGAAUCGGCGAUGUUACUUUGAGUAAAUUAGAGUGUUCAAAGCAAGCUUACGCUCUGAAUAUAAUAGCAUGGGAUAACACGACAGGACUCUGGCCUAUCGUGUUGGUCUAUAGGACCAGAGUAAUGAUUAAGAGGGACAGUCGGGGGCAUUCGUAUUCCAUUGUCAGAGGUGAAAUUCUUGGAUUUAUGAAAGACGAACUUCUGCGAAAGCAUUUGUCAAGGAUGUUUUCAUUAA
rnacentral:rRNA from 1 species